rnacentral:rRNA from 1 species
GACGAACCGUGCGAACGUUGUUCGGAAUCACUGGGCUUAAAGGGCGCGUAGGCGGGCCGCCGAGUCCGGGGUGAAAGCCCCCGGCUCAACCGGGGAACAGCUUCGGAUACCGGCGGCCUGGAGGGGGGUAGGGGCGCGUGGAACUUCCGGUGGAGCGGUGAAAUGCGUAGAUAUCGAGAGGAACACCUGCGGCGAAGGCGGGUUGCUGGGCUGACACUGACGCUGAUGCGCGAAAGCCAGGGGAGCGAACGGG